CUUUGGGAGGCCGAGGCGGGUGGAUCACGAGGUCAACAGAUCGAGACCAUCCUGGUCAACAUGGUGAAACCCCGUCUCUACUAAAAAUUACAAAAAAUUAGCUGGGCACAGUGGCGCGUGCCUGUAAUCCCAGCUACUCAGGAGGCUGAGGCAGGAGAAUUGCCUGAACCCAGGGGGCGGAGGUUGCGGUGAGCCGAGACUGCGCCAUUGCACUCCAGCCUGGGUAACAAGAGCGAAAACUCCGUCUCAAAAAAAAAAAAAAAAAAAAAAAAACAAAAAAAAACUCCUCUUUGGAGUUUAUAGGUGACUGCAGCCAGUCGGGAGCCUGUCUAUGCAGAUGUACCGGCUCUGCAGUGGCUUCCAUCACCAGCCUGCGCAUGCGUGCUCCUGGAAGACCCAGCGGCACCGCCUCUACUUCCGAUUGGCUCCGCGUGAGGGGCCGACCUCUGAAAAUAUCACGGCGGAGCGCCUCCGGCGACGUCACGGCGGGCGCCUCCGGCGACGUCACGGCGGGCGCCUCCGGUGACGUCACGGCGCACGGAGACGGGCCUCUGGCGACGUCACAGAGGCAAGCCUUAGGCGACUUCACGCGGAGGUGUGUUGCCUAGGAGCUGUGUUGUCUUCUCCCCAGAGCAGAGUCCGGUAACCUCCACCUUCCGCUGCGUCCUGUGUGCUGCUGGCUGGAGAAGGGAUGCUGAGGCAGGAGGAUCACCUGAGGCCAGGAGCAGGUCUGCAGUGAGUAGGGUCAUCCCACAACCCUCCAUCCUGAGCAAAAGAAUGAGACCAUGUCUCUAGAUAGCUAGCUAGAUAAUUGGACCUUGGAAGCAGCCAGGUUCCAUGAGUUAAAUGCAGAUCUGAACCAUACUGAGCUGGGAUUAAAGUACACACCCUCCUCUUCUGAAAAGUAGCUAAGGAUUCCAACUUGUUGUAGUGGAGAGUGUGGCAGAGCCGGACCAGACAAGGACUGAUCACAUGGAAAAGCAUGUUGUCAAAGGCCUUGGUGGGAGCAGGGCAGGUACCUUCCCAGGCUCUGAAGGAGAAUGAGUUUCUGGCCCUGGAGGCUUCCUGGAAUCCUCAGCUUGUGCUGCCCUUCUUGAAUGACUCGAGGUUCCUGCUUCCAUCACUACGCUUCCCAUCGCUCUCCAUCACCUGCUCUGCUCUGGCUGGCUGCAGUCUUCGUUCCCUGCAACAUUUGUCUCCUGGGUUCAAGUGA
rnacentral:lncRNA from 13 species